ACCCGCACAAGCGGUGGAUGAUGUGGAUUAAUUCGAUGCAACGCGAAAACCUUACCUACCCUUGACAUGUCCGGAACUUGCCAGAGAUGGCUUGGUGCUCGAAAGGGAAUCGGAACACAGGUGCUGCAUGGCUGUCGUCAGCUCGUGUCGUGAGAUGUUGGGUUAAGUCCCGCAACGAGCGCAACCCUUAUCAUUAGUUGCUACGCAAGGGCACUCUAAUGAGACUGCCGGUGACAAACCGGAGGAAGGUGGGGAUGACGUCAAGUCCUCAUGGCCCUUAUGGGUAGGGCUUCACACGUCAUACAAUGGUCGGUACAGAGGGUUGCCAAGCCGCGAGGCGGAGCCAAUCCCACAAAGCCGAUCGUAGUCCGGAUUGUUCUCUGCAACUCGAGAGCAUGAAGUCGGAAUCGCUAGUAAUCGCAGGUCAGCAUACUGCGGUGAAUACGUUCCCGGGUCUU
rnacentral:rRNA from 1 species